UGGGGGGUGUCGGUCAGUCGGGCGACGGGAGACGUAGCACAGGCGGGCCGCAGGAUAUGCAGCGCUGGGGAGGUACACUGUUUUGAGGAGAUUGGAAAAGCACA